AGCAGCAUGAGAGGCAGCUCCACACGGCAAGGUCAGUAAAUCAAUAAAUAUAUCCUUUAGACUGAUAUGGUUGUUUUACAGGAUGUUUUUUGUUUUGCAGGUAUGAUUCUGUCGCUUCGGCCAGAAUCGGAUCUAUUUUGUCGCUUUGGCCUUAAUGAUCUCGACCCACCUUGUCGCUUUGGCCUCGGUGGGGUAACCGUCGUUGCGGACAUAAAGUCGCUCUUGAUCAAGGUGGACUAUAAACAUCAGUUGUGAUAGUGAACUAGAUUCUGUCGUUUCGGCCAGAAUCAGAUUCUAAUUAUGAAUCCACGCAUUCUAUCGCUUCGGCCAGAAUCAAGCUCUGAUAGCGAGUCAGUCCAUUUUGUCGCUUUGGUCUUAAUGGACGAGAAUUAUUUUGUCGCUUUGGCCUUAAUAAUUCCCUCUCAUCUUGUCGCUUUGGCCUUGAUGAUGACACAGCAAAAGUCGCUCCUGAUCAGAGUUGGACUAUAAACACGUAGUUCCGUUGCCCUGGAACUAGAUUCUGAUAGAUAACGGGGUCAUUGUGUCGUUGUGGCCGCAAUGAUUCGAUCCCAUCUUAUCGUUUUGGCCUUGAUGCGGAUCACCUUGCUUGGGGGGGUACUGGCAAUACACGCAUGUUUCUUGUACUCUCUUCAGGGGGGAGUACUGGUGAGACAUGCCUGAUUAUGUUAGUCACUCCCAGCAACGCCCCUCAACAAGGACUAGGGUUCCGUCGCUUUACGCCGGACCCCCG
rnacentral:lncRNA from 1 species